rnacentral:rRNA from 1 species
GACGAACGCUGGCGGCGUGCUUAACACAUGCAAGUCGAGCGGUAAGGCCCUUUCGGGGGUACGACGAGCGGCGAACGGGUGAGUAACACGUGGGUGACCUGCCCUCAGCUCUGGGAUAAGCCUGGGAAACCGGGUCUAAUACUGGAUAUGACUCCAUGACGCAUGUUGUGGGGUGGAAAGCCUUGUGCGGCUGAGGAUGGGCCCGCGGCCUAUCAGCUUGUUGGUGGGGUGANGGCCUACCAAGGCGACGACGGGUAGCCGGCCUGAGAGGGCGA